rnacentral:rRNA from 1 species
GUGUCAGCAGCCGCGGUAAGACGUAGGAGGCGAGCGUUGUCCGGAUUCAUUGGGCGUAAAGAGCACGCAGGCGGUUUGGCAAGUCGGAUGUGAAAACCAGAAGCUCAACUUCUGGCCUGCAUCCGAAACUGCCCGACUAGAGGUAGGUAGGGGAGAUCGGAAUUCCUGGUGUAGCGGUGAAAUGCGCAGAUAUCAGGAGGAACACCGGUGGCGAAGGCGGAUCUCUGGGCCUUACCUGACGCUCAGGUGCGAAAGCUAGGGGAGCGAACAGGAUUAGAUACCCUGGUAGUCCUAGCCGUAAACGUUGGGUGCUAGGUGUGGGCGGACAUCAACCCCGUCCGUGCCGAAGCUAACGCAUUAAGCACCCCGCCUGGGGAGUACGGCCGCAAGGCUAAA